AUACGUAGGUGGCAAGCGUUGUCCGGAAUUAUUGGGCGUAAAGGGCGCGUAGGCGGUUCUUUAAGUCAGAUGUGAAAACCCGAGGCUCAACUUCGGGUGUGCAUUUGAAACUGGGGGACUAGAGUGCAGGAGAGGUAAGUGGAAUUCCUAGUGUAGCGGUGAAAUGCGUAGAUAUUAGGAGGAACACCAGUGGCGAAGGCGACUUACUGGACUGUAACUGACGCUGAGGAGCGAAAGCGUGGGGAGCAAACAGGAUUAGAUACCCUGGUAGUCCACGCUGUAAACGAUGGAUACUAGGGGUGGGAGGUAUCGACCCCUUCCGUGCCGCAGUAAGCGCAAUAAGUAUCCCGCCUGGGGAAUACGGCCGCAAGGUUGA
rnacentral:rRNA from 1 species